rnacentral:lncRNA from 1 species
GUACAGUAGAGUAGGUUACCCUUUUCUCAAAUAGUUCACCAUACAGUAGAGUAGGUUACCCUUUUCUCAAAUAGUUUUUUACAAAAAGUUUCACUGAAAGGUUUUCUUUUUCUCAAAUAGGAGAGGACAGUACUCCAAGUACAUUAGAGUAGAUCACCAGGUGAGUUACCUAGUACCUACUAAACCUAGAAAACACAAACAAACAGCAACAAAAAAAGGAAUCAAAAUAAAAGGUAUCAAUUCUAAAAGAUAUUGAGUUAGGGAAACAAAUAAAAUGCAUCAAUUGAAAUGAUAAUGUAGGUCAAUUAUACCAAAAAUGAUAAAUUAUAGUGCAGGUAUACUAAAAUGCACCCACGUUCCC